rnacentral:rRNA from 1 species
GGGCAGCAUGGUCUUAGCUUGCUAAGGCCGAUGGCGACCGGCGCACGGGUGAGUAACACGUAUCCAACCUGCCGUCUACUCUUGGACAGCCUUCUGAAAGGAAGAUUAAUACAAGAUGGCAUCAUGAGUCCGCAUGUUCACAUGAUUAAAGGUAUUCCGGUAGACGAUGGGGAUGCGUUCCAUUAGAUAGUAGGCGGGGUAACGGCCCACCUAGUCUUCGAUGGAUAGGGGUUCUGAGAGGAAGGUCCCCCACAUUGGAACUGAGACACGGUCCAAACUCCUACGGGAGGCAGCAGUGAGGAAUAUUGGUCAAUGGGCGAGAGCCUGAACCAGCCAAGUAGCGUGAAGGAUGACUGCCCUAUGGGUUGUAAACUUCUUUUAUAAAGGAAUAAAGUCGGGUAUGGAUACCCGUUUGCAUGUACUUUAUGAAUAAGGAUCGGCUAACUCCGUGCCAGCAGCCGCGGUAAUACGGAGGAUCCGAGCGUUAUCCGGAUUUAUUGGGUUUAAAGGGAGCGUAGAUGGAUGUUUAAGUCAGUUGUGAAAGUUUGCGGCUCAACCGUAAAAUUGCAGUUGAUACUGGAUAUCUUGAGUGCAGUUGAGGCAGGCGGAAUUCGUGGUGUAGCGGUGAAAUGCUUAGAUAUCACGAAGAACUCCGAUUGCGAAGGCAGCCUGCUAAGCUGCAACUGACAUU